rnacentral:rRNA from 1 species
UACGUAGGGGGCAAGCGUUGUCCGGAAUCAUUGGGCGUAAAGCGCGUGUAGGCGGCUCGAUAAGUCUGCUGUGAAAGUCCAGGGCUCAACCCUGGGAUGCCGGUGGAUACUGUCGAGCUCGAGUCCGGAAGAGGCGAGUGGAAUUCCUGGUGUAGCGGUGAAAUGCGCAGAUAUCAGGAAGAACACCAAUGGCGAAAGCAGCUCUCUGGGACGGUACUGACGCUGAGACGCGAAAGCGUGGGGAGCGAACAGG